GCUCCUCUUUCUCGUUCUGCCACGUACUGGCAGGUGGCAGAAGCGCCCGGAGAUGUCCGGGGAGGUCCAUAGUAGGCCAUGCACUGCCCUGCUCCCUUGGCCUUGGACAUCCACCUCCCCUUCGAUAAAGUGCUCCAGUGGGUGAAGCCGAAGGAGAGGCAGCGAACGGAUACACGCGAAGGCUGAACUCGGACCCUGAACUUGGGCCGACUAGGAAAGGCUCGCUCCGCCCUCCCUCAACACUACUGCGGCUGCGUCAGCGAGCUGCGGCCCACACUCAACAUGGCGGCGGCGGCGCCGGCGGCCUCCUGCCCUUCUCCAUCAUGGCGGUAACCGGACCCGCCUCCGUGGGCGCCGGAGUCAUGUGACCCACACAAUGGCUGAGCGCCUACUCCAGGCUUCCCGGCAACGCCGAGUGAAAGCCAUGACGGCCGCCGCGGGUUCGGCGGGCCAAGCCGCGGUGCCCCUGCUGCUGUGCGCGCUGCUGGCGCCCGGUGGCGCGUACGUGCUCGACGACUCCGACGGGCUGGGCCGGGAGUUCGACGGCAUCGGAGCGGUCAGCGGCGGCGGGGCCACCUCCCGACUUCUAGUAAAUUACCCAGAGCCCUAUCGUUCUCAAAUACUGGAUUAUCUCUUUAAGCCAAACUUCGGUGCCUCUUUGCAUAUUCUGAAAGUUGAAAUAGGUGGUGAUGGGCAGACAACAGAUGGCACCGAGCCCUCCCACAUGCACUAUGAAUUAGAUGAGAAUUAUUUCCGAGGAUAUGAGUGGUGGUUAAUGAAGGAAGCUAAGAAGCGGAACCCUAAUAUCACACUCAUGGGGCUGCCAUGGUCGUUCCCUGGAUGGCUGGGGAAGGGUUUCAACUGGCCUUAUGUAAAUCUUCAGCUGACUGCCUACUACGUCGUGACCUGGAUUGUGGGCGCCAAGCAUUAUCAUGAUCUGAACAUUGAUUAUAUCGGAAUUUGGAAUGAGAGGGCAUUUGACAUCAAUUAUAUCAAGGUGUUAAGAAGAAUGCUGAACUAUCAAGGUCUCCAGCAAGUGAAAAUCAUAGCAAGUGAUAAUCUCUGGGAGCCCAUUUCUGCUUCUAUGCUGCUUGACUCUGAGCUCUUGAAGGUGAUUGAUGUUAUAGGAGCUCAUUACCCUGGGACCCGUACAGUAAAGGAUGCUAGGUUGACUGGGAAGAAGCUUUGGUCUUCUGAAGAUUUUAGCACUUUAAAUAGUGAUGUGGGUGCAGGCUGCUGGGGUCGCAUAUUGAAUCAGAAUUAUAUCAAUGGCUACAUGACUGCCACAAUUGCUUGGAAUUUGGUGGCUAGUUACUAUGAACAGUUGCCGUACGGGCGUUGUGGACUGAUGACUGCUCAGGAGCCCUGGAGCGGGCACUAUGUAGUAGAAGCUCCUAUCUGGAUAGCAGCUCAUACCACUCAGUUUACUCAACCAGGUUGGUAUUACCUGAAGACAGUUGGCCAUUUAGAAAAAGGAGGAAGCUAUGUAGCUCUGACGGAUGGCUUAGGUAACCUCACCAUCAUCAUUGAAACUAUGAGUCAUAAGCAUUCCAUGUGUAUACGACCACUUCUUCCCUAUUUCAAUGUUUCACAACAAUUUGCUACCUUCAUUCUUAAGGGUUCUUUUAGUGCAAUACCAGAGCUGCAGGUGUGGUAUACCAAACUUGGAAAACCAUCAGAGAGAUUUCUUUUCAAACAACUGGAUUCUCUAUGGCUCCUAGACAGCGGCGGCCGCUUCACGCUGGACCUGCAGGAGGACGGGCUGCUCACGCUCACCACGCUCAGCACCGGCAGCAAAGGCAGUCACCCGCUGCCUCCGAGGUCCCAGCCCUUUCCCCGCGUCUAUAAGGAUGACUUCAAUGUCGAUUACCCAUUUUUUAGUGAAGCUCCGAAUUUUGCUGAUCAGACUGGUGUAUUUGAAUACUUUAUGAAUAUUGAAGACCCUGGAGAGCAUCGCUUCACGCUGCGCCAGGUUCUCAAUCAAAGGCCCAUUACUUGGGCUGCUGAUGCAUUCAACACCAUCAGUAUUAUAGGAGAUUACAAAUGGUCCAAUUUGACGGUAAAGUGUGAUGUGUACAUAGAGACCCCUGAGAAGGGAGGUGUGUUCAUUGCUGGAAGAGUGAAUAAAGGUGGUAUUUUGAUUAGAAGUGCCAGGGGAGUUUUCUUCUGGAUAUUUGCAAAUGGAAUCUACAGAGUUACAGGUGAUCUAGCUGGAUGGAUCAUAUAUACUUCAGGACAUGCUGACGUUACAGCAAAAAAAUGGUAUACACUCACUUUAACUAUUAAUGGUGGUUUCUCUUCUGGCACGCUGAAUGGCAAGCCUCUCUGGAAGAAUGUCUCUGUGAACUUCCCGAAGAAUGGCUGGGCUGCGAUUGGAACUCACUCCUUUGAAUUUGCACAGUUUGAUAACUUUCGUGUGGAAGCCAUACACUAAUACAGAGUGCCAUAGAACACUCUCUGGAUUUUCUUUCUUUUUGGUUUUGGUUCAGAGCCAUUUCUGGUUUUGAUGGAUCAAUAUAGGAGCCUUUUGGAAGCUACAAAUAAUGAAGAGUAAAUGAGGAGAAAAAUAUAUUUUUGCUUGAUCAUCUUGAAGAUUUUUUUUUUUAGAAUUCCAAGGGGAAACAGAUGAAUCUUUAAUAUGACCUGAUACGUCCCGUAGAUAGGACACUAGGUGACUGGAAGGAGGAAGAAAACCCUAUGUAGCCAGUGCUGUGAGUGGGUCCAAAGGUAAAAUUGUAGCAGUUUUCUUGUGUUUCAUUUCAUUGUGCCUUUCAUGGUCUGUCUUCUCUUGUGGCACUGGUGACAAACUAAAAUAACUAAUGAACACUUUUAUCUCCUCAUGCCUGGAAUAAAAGGAACACCUAUCUAGUUCAUAGAAUUGGAUCAUCCUCUAAUAUUUUGUGUGGUUAGAAGCAUUUCUUUUUUUUUUUUUUUUUUUUAAUUUUAGCAAUUUCAUGUAUCUUUAUUUAUUUUAUUUAUUUAUGGCUGUGUUGGGUCUUCGUUUCUGUGUGAGGGCUUUCUCUAGUUGUGGCAAGCGGGGGCCACUCUUCAUCGCGGUGCGCGGGCCUCUCACUAUCGCGGCCUCUCUUGUUGCGGAGCACAGGCUCCAGACGCGCAGGCUCAGUAAUUGUGGCUCACGGGCCUAGUUGCUCCGCGGCAUGUGGGAUCUUCCCAGACCAGGACUCGAACCCGUGUCUCCUGCAUUGGCAGGCAGAUUCUCAACCACUGCGCCACCAGGGAAGCCCCGAAGCAUUUCUUUUGUUAAAGUACAAAUAUAUUUAAGUAUAGGUGAGCAUAUUUCUCAUGCAGUAUAAUUUAUAUCUAAUCAUUAGUGUACCUCCUAGAAGCAAAUCAAUUAUUCAUGUGGAUAAAGUAAAUUCUGGAAUUUUUUAUAAUGAAAGUUUAAAACUAUUGAACUAAUUCUACAAUUUUGGAAUUUGUAGUGAUUUAAUGUAGACUAAACUGACAUGAAGUUUUGUAUUACUAUUGGAGACAAGAAGCUAAAUAUUAGAGUAAAUCAGAUUACAGAGAAAAUUUUAAAAUUAAAACCAAGUCUAAGUGAUUUCCAGUUUAGGUCCCUACAUAUUUUUUAAAAUUAACUUUAUUGAGGUAUAGCUUACAUACAAUAAAAUGUUCCCAUUUUAAGUUUACAGUUCAAUGAGUCUUGAUAAAUGGAUAUAACCAAGAUAUUGAACAUUUCCAUCACUCCAGAAAGUUCUCUUGUAUACCUGUGCAGUCAUUUCCCCUCAUCCCCACCCCGAUCCCAGGCAACCAUCAAUCUGAUUUCUAUUACUGUUGAUAAGUUUUCUUUGUUCCAAAACAUUAUAAAAGUGGCAUCAUACACUUUGUACCCUUUUAUGAAUGGUUUCUUUUACUCAGCAUAAAGUGUUUGAGAUUUGUUUAUGUGCUGUGUAUAUCAAAGGUUUGCUCCUAAUUUCAAAGAGUAUUCCAUUGAAGGGGUGUACCACAGUUUGUCCCCCCAAGUUUUGGUAUUACAAAUAAAGCUGUUGUG